GAGAGGCAAGCAUAAAUGGUGUGCGGCUAGCUUGAAACUAGCUCGUGGUGGUUCAAGUCCCCCGUCUCUUG
rnacentral:tRNA from 1 species